rnacentral:rRNA from 1 species
ACGCUCGACACCUACGUGAGGCAGCAGUGGGGGAUAUUGCACAAUGGGGGAAACCCUGAUGCAGCAACGCCGCGUGAAGGAAGAAGGUCUUCGGAUUGUAAACUUCUGUCCUCAGGGAAGAUAAUGACGGUACCUGAGGAGGAAGCUCCGGCUAACUACGUGCCAGUAGCCGCGGUAAUCUGAGCGGGCUGGCAAGGC